AAGUCUUGAGAUGGAAUGGCCCAUGGAUCUGAAACAGGGAUGUUUGGAGCUUGCACAGGUGGACUUCGGCUGAGGCCGGGAUACUGAGAGGGUGCAGAAACUGAUGAGGUUGAAGCUGCGGAAGCGAUAAAUGAUGGUGAAAUAGAAACAGGAGGAGACUUUAAGGAACCGUUUAAUAAAAGGUUGAUUAUAUGCAUACCGGUAUUAAACUCGCGAAUAUCCAGAGCCCCGCGUUUAUGAGUAUCAACUAAAUUCCAGACUCGCGCAAGAAUUUCAGUACUAAGAGGUGCACGACCAAAGAUUGAGCUAGCUCUGUCACCAUCCAUCAGACCGUCAGUUGGGCAGACUGUAGUAAACAUUUGUUGAUACCGUGUCAUUUCAUCUGAAGAAAUAGGAGGUAAGAAAGAACCAUCAGAUCCAUCACCAGAAGAAACGUUAUUUGGUCGAUUCAGCUGAACAAACUUUGAAGAAUCAACGCCAGAGAUAUGGAUAUCGGCAAAAUAUGGAAUUUUCCCCGAUUUUUUGUAAUCAAAAGGUAGCUUUUCUUGUGCGAGAGCCACCAACCUCAUGGCAAUUACAAAGCCAGAAAAUGUAAGAAAUCCUCGAUUCUCAGCAUCUGCGAUUUGCCAAAUUUGACCAAGGACUUGAGGAGCUAAGCCCGAUUUUUCCAAAAACGGUAC